CCUACGGGUGGCAGCAGUGAGGAAUAUUGGUCAAUGGGCGCGAGACUGAACCAGCCAAGUAGCGUGAAGGAUGACUGCCCUACGGGUUGUAAACUUCUUUUAUAAAGGAAUAAAGUGAGGCACGUGUGCCUUUUUGUAUGUACUUUAUGAAUAAGGAUCGGCUAACUCCGUGCCAGCAGCCGCGGUAAUACGGAGGAUCCGAGCGUUAUCCGGAUUUAUUGGGUUUAAAGGGAGCGUAGAUGGGUUGUUAAGUCAGUUGUGAAAGUUUGCGGCUCAACCGUAAAAUUGCAAUUGAUACUGGCAGUCUUGAGUACAGGUGAGGUAGGCGGAAUUCGUGGUGUAGCGGUGAAAUGCUUAGAUAUCACGAAGAACUCCGAUUGCGAAGGCAGCUUACUAGACUGCCACUGACAUUGAUGCUCGAAAGUGUGGGUAUCAAACAGGAUUAGAUACCCUUGUAGUC
rnacentral:rRNA from 1 species